rnacentral:lncRNA from 1 species
CUAGAAGGCCGCCCAUGUUUCUCCUCAAAAUUAUACCGUCUGCAGCCAAUAUAAUUUUCUUAGUCGAAACAGACACUCCUUCAAUCACUCACUCCACUCAAGAAGGAGUUAAAACAAUUCAAUCGCUGACUUUCGCGAUAAAUCACGCCUCACGCCUCUCGCGUCUUCCCUUUCUAAGGUUUGCCAAGCUUAAGGUUUCCUAGGUCCCAACGACCUAAUACUAAACUCUGAUACCAACUUAAUCUGUCACGCCAGGCACGCCAACAGACCUGCCGUAUACAAAAAAAUUUACCAGGCAUACGAAGUGAUAGCUGUACCUUAAACAAAUCCAA